rnacentral:tRNA from 1 species
GCCGGCAUAGCUCAGACGGUAGAGCAGCUGAUUUGUAAUCAGAAGGUCGUGGGUUCGAUUCCUAUUGCCGGCACCA